CAGCCGCCGCGGGAAUACGAAGGGGGCGAGCGUUGCUCGGAAUGACUGGGCGUAAAGGGCGCGUAGGUGGCGUGCACAGUCAGAUGUGAAAUUCCUGGGCUCAACCUGGGGGCUGCAUUUGAUACGUGCGUGCUAGAGUGUGGAAGAGGGUCGUGGAAUUCCCAGUGUAGAGGUGAAAUUCGUAGGUAUUGGGAAGAACACCGGUGGCGAAGGCGGCGACCUGGUCCAUUACUGACGCUGAGGCGCGAAAGCGUGGGGAGCAAACAGGAUUAGAUACCCCAGUAGUCCCUGUCUCUUAUAC
rnacentral:rRNA from 1 species